rnacentral:rRNA from 1 species
CCUACGGGAGGCAGCAGUGGGGGAUAUUGCACAAUGGGGGAAACCCUGAUGCAGCGACGCCGCGUGAGUGAAGAAGUAUUUCGGUAUGUAAAGCUCUAUCAGCAGGGAAGAAAAUGACAGUACCUGACCAAGAAGCCCCGGCUAACUCCGUGCCAGCAGCCGCGGUAAUACGUAGGGGGCAAGCGUUAUCCGGAUUUACUGGGCGUAAAGGGAGCGUAGACGGUCAUGUAAGUCGGGAGUGAAAGCCCGGGGCUCAACCCCGGGACUGCUUUGGAAACUGUGUAACUGGAGUACAGGAGGGGCAGGCGGAAUUCCUGGUGUAGCGGUGAAAUGCGUAGAUAUCAGGAGGAACACCGGCGGCGAAGGCGGCCUACUGGACUGAAACUGACGUUGAGGCACGAAAGCGUGGGGAGCAAACAGGAUUAGAUACCCCUGUAGUC